UACGUAGGGGGCAAGCGUUAUCCGGAUUUACUGGGUGUAAAGGGAGCGUAGACGGAUGGACAAGUCUGAUGUGAAAGGCUGGGGCUCAACCCCGGGACUGCAUUGGAAACUGCCCGUCUUGAGUGCCGGAGAGGUAAGCGGAAUUCCUAGUGUAGCGGUGAAAUGCGUAGAUAUUAGGAGGAACACCAGUGGCGAAGGCGACUUACUGGACGGUAACUGACGUUGAGGCUCGAAAGCGUGGGGAGCAAACAGG
rnacentral:rRNA from 1 species